UCAAAUCUGGUUAUAAACGGAGUCUUUAAAGGCUAGGGAUAAAAAGAAAUGUAUCUAAAGAAAUGACGGAGCACGGAUGUCGUAACUUAUGUCUGUAGGAUUUAUGGUAUACAUAACCCUACUUAUUUUGUUUUCAAUUUUUGUUAUUUAUAUAAAAUUUAUUGAAAAUUGUCUUUGUUCUUCUGCUCAAUCCGUAAAUUAUUGUAUUAGGGCAAAUUUCAGUUCACAAUGCGUAGUUGUAUAGUCGGUUGCUCCAAUUCGACCAAGCGAUGUACUGACAGUAUAUUUUUCAUUCCAAAAGGAACUCGGAGAAAUAUAUGGACUACAUUUUGAAAACAGAUUCACAAGCAAUAAGCGACAAGAUAAGAGUUUGCUGGCGUCAUUUUAGAGGAGAUUUAUUUCAUUUUUCAACAAGGACAUAACUAAAACCCCAUUGCAUACCACGUUUAUAUCUGUAUAAUAACGCAGAAGCCAAUGAAGCUGUACAAAAUAUAGAAACCAGUAAAACACCAAAAAAAUAACUUCCAAAACAAAGAAUAUUUGAUUACCCGAUUAAAUCAGGCGAUAUAUAAAUCUAAAUUUUUAAUUGAGAACACAAUGAUAAUGAAAUAAAUUAUAAUACAG